rnacentral:misc_RNA from 1 species
GAAAUGCGAUAAGUAAUGUGAAUUGCAGAAUUCUGUGAAUCAUCGAAUCUUUGAACGCACCUUGCGCUCCUUGGUAUUCCUUGGAGCAUGCCUGUUUGAGUAUCAUGAAAUCUUCAAAGUAAAUCUUUUGUUAACUCAAUUGGUUUCUACUUUGGUAUUGGAGGUCUUUGCAGCUUCACACCUGCUCCUCUUUGUUCAUUAGCUGGAUCUCAGUGUUAUGCUUGGUUCCACUCGGCGUGAUAAGUUAUCUAUCGCUGAGGACACUGUAAAAGGUGGCCAAGGUAAAUGCAGAUGAACCGCUUCUAAUAGUCCAUUGACUUGGACAAUACUUUUAUGAUCUGAUCUCAAAUCAGGUAGGACUACCCGCUGAACUUAAGC